GGUCCGGUAGCUCAGCCGGUCUAGAGCGCCGCCCUGAUAAGGCGGAGGCCGGAGGUUCAAACCCUCCCCGGACCACCA
rnacentral:tRNA from 2 species